rnacentral:lncRNA from 1 species
UGGAAUUCAGAAAGCCUGGGAUAUUGCAGGUUUAUCCUGACAGUAGCCUCUCCUCAGGUCGGAAGACCUCUCAGGCUCUGUUUCUAGGGAGGCUGACCUGCUGACAAUGCUCCUAGCUGGAAUUUGUAAGUGGUCUUGAAUAAAGUCUUCCUCACUGUUUUAACAAGAGACAAGGUAAUGUUCAUUGAACAUCUUAUACAAAGAGGAAACCUGGCACAGAAGUGGACACGCACUCGGAGGGAAAAUGCCAAGUGAAAAUGAAGGCAGAGAUCAGGUGAUGCAUCUGCAAGCUGAGCAACAUCAGGAAUUGCCAAAAACCACCAGGAGCUGGAGAGGCCUGGGACAGAGCCUCCCGCGGAGCCUCAAGGGAGCCAGCCCUGCCCACGCCUUGAUCUUUGACGUCUGACCUCAAGAACUAUGAGAGAACCCAUUUCUGUUGGUGAAGGCUCCCCGUCUGUGGUCCCCUGUCCUGGCAGCCCUAGGAACCUGACCUCUGGUCCCUCUGCAUCCCUGGCAUCACUCUGCCUCCCUCUCUUUUUCUCCAGUGAAUCCGACACACUCUCAGUGAGACAGCCAGGUGGCAAGGGGUCCUCGGAGAAACUCCAGCCGGCCUGCUCGCUGGGCAUGUACACUGGAGUGGAGCCACAGAAGUUCACGGUGUUUGCAGCAGGGAGGAGCCUG